rnacentral:rRNA from 1 species
UACGAAGGGGGCUAGCGUUGUUCGGAAUUACUGGGCGUAAAGCGCGCGCAGGCGGCUAUCCAAGUCAGUGGUGAAAGCCCGGAGCUCAACUCCGGAACUGCCAUUGAAACUGUUUAGCUUGAGGACGAGAGAGGUGAGUGGAAUUCCCAGUGUAGUGGUGACUUUCGUAGAUAUUGGGAAGAACGCCAGUGGCGAAGGCGGCUCACUGGCUCGUUUCUGACGCUCAGGCGCGAUAGCGUGGGGAUCCAACAGG